UCGAGAAUUUUUCUCAAUGGGGGAAACCCUGAAGGAGCGACGCCGCGUGGAGGAUGAAGGUUUUCGGAUUGUAAACUCCUGUCAUCCGGGAGCAAUGCUGCACUAUUAACUGUAGUGUAGUUGAUCGUACCGGAAGAGGAAGAGACGGCUAACUCUGUGCCAGCAGCCGCGGUAAUACAGAGGUCUCGAGCGUUGUUCGGAUUUAUUGGGCGUAAAGGGUGCGUAGGCGGCGAGCUAAGUUUGGUGUGAAAUCCUGGGGCUUAACCUCAGAAAUGCACUGAAUACUGGUUUGCUAGAGGACUGGAGAGGAGAUUGGAAUUCACGGUGUAGCAGUGAAAUGCGUAGAUAUCGUGAGGAAGACCAGUGGCGAAAGCGAAUCUCUGGACAGUUCCUGACGCUGAGGCACGAAGGCUAGGGGAGCAAACGG
rnacentral:rRNA from 1 species